CAGUCGCCGCGGGAAUACGUAGGUGGCGAGCGUUGUCCGGAAUCAUUGGGCGUAAAGGGAGCGCAGGCGGGCAUGUAAGUCUUUCUUAAAAGUGCGGGGCUCAACCCCGUGAUGGGAAAGAAACUACAUGCCUUGAGUACAGGAGAGGAAAGCGGAAUUCCCAGUGUAGCGGUGAAAUGCGUAGAUAUUGGGAGGAACACCAGUGGCGAAGGCGGCUUUCUGGACUGCAACUGACGCUGAGGCUCGAAAGCCAGGGGAGCGAACGGGAUUAGAUACCCGAGUAGUCCCUGUCUCUUAUACA
rnacentral:rRNA from 1 species